rnacentral:rRNA from 1 species
UCUAAAGCUAAACAGGGCUUCUGGUGGAUGCCUUGGGGCGAUGUGCCGAUGAAGGACGUGCCAAGCGACGAUACGCCGUGGGGAGUGGCAAGCACACUUUGAUCCACGGAUUUCCGAAUGGGGAAACCCGGCGGACUACAAUCCGUCAUCCGUAAGGAGGGGCACGAGGGGAACUGAAACAUCUAAGUACCCUCAGGAAGAGAAAGCAAAAUGCGAUUGCCUUAGUAGCGGCGAGCGAACGGGCAACAGCCUAAACCGGUAGGCUUGCUUACCGGGGUUGUGGGGCGUUAUAUGGGUCUGGCGACGGUACGUGGAAUCUGCAUGGAAAAGCAAACCGCAGAGGGUGAUAGUCCCGUACACGUAAAGUUACCAGCCCUGACGAUACCCCAAGUACCACGGGACACGAGGAACCUUGUGGGAAUCCAGGAGGACCACCUCCUAAGGCUAAAUACGCAUCGCCACCGAUAGUGAACCAGUACCGUGAGGGAAAGGUGAAAAGCACCCCGGGAGGGGAGUGAAAAAGAACCUGAAACCAGACAGCCCGCAAACAGUCAGAGCCGCCCGCAAGGGUGGUGAUGGCGUGCCUUUUGCAUAAUGACCCGGCGAGUUAUUGGCGGUAGCAGCUUAAGGCGUUCAGCGCCGUAGGCCGAGCGAAAGCGAGUCCGAAUAGGGCGUUACGUUGCCGUCAGUAGACCCGAAACUGCGUGAUCUACCCAUGGCCAGGGGGAAGCGGGUGUAAGAACCUGUGGACGCCCGGACCGGUGUCAGUUGAAGAUGGCUCGGAUGAGCUGUGGGUAGUCUGGUGAAAUGCCAAUCGAACGCAGAGAUAGCUGGUUCUCCCCGAAAUGCAUUGAGGUGCAGCCUUGUUCGUUCCGUAUCGCAGGUAGAGCACUGGAUGGUCUAGGGGCCUUCCCGGGUUACCGAAAUCAACCAAACUCCGAAUGGCGAUACGCUAGAGAACAGGAGUGAGACAGCGGGGGAUAAGCUUCGUUGUCGAAAGGGAAACAGCCCAGAUCUCCAGCUAAGGCCCCAAAAUUCAGGCUUAGUGUAAAAGGAUGUGAGAAUGCACAGACAACCAGGAUGUUGGCUUAGAAGCAGCCAUCAUUUAAAAAAUGCGUAACAGCUUACUGGUCAAUGUGUUCUCGCGCCGAUAAUGUAUGGGGGCUCAAGCCUGAUGCCGAAGCUGAGACAUGUGCUUGCACAUGGGUAGGGGAGCGUUGCGCGAUCCAGUGAAGCCGCGGUGUAAACCGGCGGUGGAGGCCGCGCAAGUGAGGAUGCCGGGAUAAGUAGCGCGAAGACGGGUGAGAAUCCCGUCCGCCGAAAGCCUAAGGUUUCUUAAGGCAGGUUCGUCCUCUUGAGUUUAGUCGGUCCUAAGGCGAGGCCGCAUGGCGUAGUCGAUGGCUGUCAGGUUGAUAUUCCUGAACCGGGUGUGCUCUGUGAAUGCAGGGGGACACUUGCUCGGGGUCGGUCGCGGCGAUGGUCGUCCGCGUUGGAGGGUUACCUCCACGAGUGAAUCCUUCGGGUGAAGCGAAGCCGAUGAAGAGCGGGUCACGAAAAUCCUUUGCAGGAGAGCACAUUCGACCGUACCGCAAACCGACACAGGUAGGCACGUAGAGGAUACGUAGGCGUUCGAGAAAACUCUCGCUAAGGAACUAGGCAAAAUAGCCCCGUAACUUCGGGAGAAGGGGUGCUCGCUAGGGUGAAAGCCCCGGCGAGUCGCAGCAAAGCGGACCGAGCGACUGUUUACCAAAAACACAGGUCUCUGCUAAGCCGAAAGGCGAUGUAUAGGGGCUGACGCCUGCCCAAUGCCAGAAGGUUAACAGGCGGAGUCAAGCGAAAGCGGUAGCUCCAAAUCGAAGCCCUGGUGAAUGGCGGCCGUAACUAUAACGGUCCUAAGGUAGCGAAAUUCCUAGUCGGGUAAGUUCCGACCCGCACGAAUGGCGUAACGACUUGGUCGCUGUCUCAGCGAGAGACUCGGUGAAAUUGUAGCAUGCGUGAAGAUGCGCAUUACCCGCCGCAGGACGGAAAGACCCCAUGGAGCUUUACUGCAUCCUGUCAUUGCACAUUGGCCAUCACCGUAGAGUGUAGGUGGGAGCUUCGGCGACAAUGGAACACCACCCUUUGAUGAGUUAGUGUGCUAACCCGUUCAGUUAUCCUGACCGGAGACCGUGGCAGGUGGGCAGUUUGACUGGGGCGGUCGCCUCCCAAAAGGUAACGGAGGCGCCCAAAGGUUGCCUCAGCCUGGUUGGAAAUCAGGCAUUGCGUGUAAGGGCAUAAGGCAGCUUGACUGUGAGGCCGACGGGCCGAGCAGAGACGAAAGUCGGGCCUAGUGACCCUCUGGCUACGCGUGGACGUGCCAGGGUUCAUCGGAUAAAAGCUACCCUGGGGAUAACAGGCUUAUCUUGCCCAAGCGCUCACAGCGACGGCAAGGUUUGGCACCUCGAUGUCGGCUCGUCGCUUCCUGGGGCCGUAUUAGGUCCCAAGGGUUGGGCUGUUCGCCCAUUAAAGCGGUACGCGAGCUGGGUUCAGAACGUCGCGAGACAGUUCGGUCCCUAUCCGCGGUGGGCGUAGAGGUUUUGAGGGGGGCUGACCCUAGUACGAGAGGACCGGGUUGGACGGACCGCUGGUGUACCAGUUGUGCCGCCAGGCGCAGACGCUGGGUAGCUACGUCCGGAAGCGAUAAGCGCUGAAAGCAUAUAAGCGCGAAGCGCGCCCCAAGAUGAGAACCUCCACAGCACAAGCUGGUAAGGUCCCCGGCAGAUAACCGGGUAAAUAGGCGUCAGGUGUAAGCGUGGCGACACGUUGAGCUGAGACGUACUAAGUGACCGAGGGCUUUGGAAU